rnacentral:other from 1 species
UCGGGGCUGCGCGGUGCGACAGGAGACACGCAUCCCCGGGGCCUUAUCGAUCCUAAAGGGAGCUGUACCUUCCCUUGUCCGUGGACUUGGGGAAACGGCGCCCACCUACGUAUGUAGGUUCCCGGGAUCGAAACCUCCAUCGGCCGCCGCGGCUCCGAC